UACGUAGGUGGCAAGCGUUGUUCGGAAUUACUGGGCGUAAAGCGCGCGUAGGCGGCUCUUCAAGUCAGGCGUGAAAGCCCCCGAGCUUAACUCGGGAACUGCGCUUGAUACUGUCGAGCUAGAGUGUGGAAGGGGCGAUUGGAAUUCCGUGUGUAGCGGUGAAAUGCGUAGAUAUACGGAGGAACACCAGGGGCGAAGGCGGAUCGCUGGGCCAACACUGACGCUGAUGUGCGAAAGCUAGGGGAGCAAACGGG
rnacentral:rRNA from 1 species